GACGAACGCUGGCGGCGUGCUUAACACAUGCAAGUCGAACGGAAAGGCCCUGCUCUUGUGGGGUGCUCGAGUGCCGAACGCGUGAGUAACACGUGAGUAACCUGCCCUUGUCUUUCGGAUAUCUUCAGGAAACUCGGGCUAUUACCGGAUAUGAUCUCUUGCUCCAUGUUGUUCAUUGGAAAGUUUCGGCGUUUGGGGAUGGUCUCGCGGCUUAUCCGCUUGUUGGUGAGGUAGUUGCUUACCAAGGCUUAGACGGGUAGCCGGCCUGAGCGGGUUACCGGCCACAAGAGGACUGAGAGACGGCGCAGACGCCUACGGGAGGCAGCGGUGGAGAACAUUGCACAAUGGGCGGGAGCCUGAUGCAGCAACGUCGCGAGCGGGAUGACGGCCUUCGGGUUGUGAACCGAUGUCGCCUGUGACGAAGAGGGAGUGACGGUAAUGGGUAAAAAAGCACCGGCUAACUACGUG
rnacentral:rRNA from 1 species